rnacentral:lncRNA from 1 species
UUCAUAUAUAAUUAAAAAAUGCUCCAAAAAUGAUGAGAUUUUUUGCAUUGUGUUUCUCUUUUUGUCUACUAUUUUUUGAUUAUUAAUUCCAAAAUUGUGCCUGGCCUGGAAAUUAUGUUGCCUAGAGAGUUUGAAUACAUGUCCAUUUUGUACCUUGCCUUGAUCAUACUUUUGUGAAAUGCUCAUUUUUAAUCCAAUGCUCAUGAAAUUUUAC